CUGAGCUCCUCUCUACCCUGUGCCUCGAUCCCCUGUUGAGAAAGUCUGGAGAAGCUGCUCAUAAAUUAGCUUGGCAUCCUGAACUCAUGAAAAAUCUGUCUUUGGAGCUGUUCAAGUGGCAGGGUGACCAUUACCAUGGAUGGGCAUUCACAUGCUACUGGUGAAGGUUUUGCUGACCACUGGAAACAAUUACAGCACAGACAUGUAUGGGAAUGUCUGACAGCUUCUUCAGCC
rnacentral:lncRNA from 1 species